rnacentral:misc_RNA from 1 species
GAUGAAGAACGUAGUGAAAUGCGAUACGUAAUGUGAAUUGCAAAUUCAGUGAAUCAUCGAGUCUUUGAACGCACAUUGCGCCCCCUGGUAUUCCGGGGGGCAUGCCUGUCCGAGCGUCAUUGCUGCCCUCAAGCACGGCUUGUGUGUUGGGCCCCGUCCUCCGAUCCCGGGGGACGGGCCCGAAAGGCAGCGGCGGCACCGCGUCCGGUCCUCGAGCGUAUGGGGCUUUGUCACCCGCUCUGUAGGCCCGGCCGGCGCUUGCCGAUCAACCCAAAUUUUUAUCCAGGUUGACCUCGGAUCAGGUAGGGAUACCCGCUGAACUUAAGCAUAUCAUAAGCGGAGGA